UGUUUAAGAAAUCUCAAA
rnacentral:snRNA from 1 species